rnacentral:sRNA from 1 species
AUCGAGUGGUGCAGAAUACGCGCCUUGCAAAAUAACCGACGUCUAAUAGCGUCGGUUAUUUUUUUAC